AGAAUGAACGCUGGCGGCAUGCCUAACACAUGCAAGUCGAACGAAGGCUUCGGCCUUAGUGGCGCACGGGUGCGUAACGCGUGGGAAUCUGCCCCUCGGUUCGGAAUAACAGCGAGAAAUUGCUGCUAAUACCGGAUGAUGACGUAAGUCCAAAGAUUUAUCGCCGAGGGAUGAGCCCGCGUAGGAUUAGCUAGUUGGUGUGGUAAAAGCGCACCAAGGCGACGAUCCUUAGCUGGUCUGAGAGGAUGAUCAGCCACACUGGGACUGAGACACGGCCCAGACUCCUACGGGAGGCAGCAGUGGGGAAUAUUGGACAAUGGGCGAAAGCCUGAUCCAGCAAUGCCGCGUGAGUGAUGAAGGCCUUAGGGUUGUAAAGCUCUUUUACCCGGGAUGAUAAUGACAGUACCGGGAGAAUAAGCUCCGGCUAACUCCGUGCCAACAGCCGC
rnacentral:rRNA from 1 species